rnacentral:rRNA from 1 species
UACGUAGGGUGCAAGCGUUAUCCGGAAUUAUUGGGCGUAAAGAGCUCGUAGGCGGUUUGUCGCGUCUGCUGUGAAAACUCGAGGCUCAACCUCGAGCUGUCGGUGGAAACUGUCUGGCUAGAGUCCGGAAGAGGAGAGUGGAAUUCCUGGUGUAGCGGUGAAAUGCGCAGAUAUCAGGAAGAACACCUAUGGCGAAGGCAGCUCUCUGGGACGGUACUGACGCUGAGACGCGAAAGCGUGGGGAGCGAACAGG